rnacentral:tRNA from 2 species
AGCCCCGUAGUCUAGCGGCAAGGACAGCAGGCUCUGGACCUGCAAACACCGGUUCAAAUCCGAUCGGGGCUA